AUGCUGACAUAAGUAACGAUAAAGCGGGUGAAAAGCCCGCUCGCCGGAAGACCAAGGGUUCCUGUCCAACGUUAAUCGGGGCAGGGUGAGUCGACCCCUAAGGCGAGGCCGAAAGGCGUAGUCGAUGGGAAACGGGUUAAUAUUCCCGUACUUGGUGUUACUGCGAAGGGGGGACGGAGAAGGCUAUGUUGGCCGGGCGACGGUUGUCCCGGUUUAAGCGUGUAGGUGUGUGUUCCAGGUAAAUCCGGUU
rnacentral:rRNA from 3 species